GACUGUUCCAGUGGCUUAGUGGUUAGAGUGUCUGCUUUGGGUGUGGGUGGUCGCAGCUUCAAACCUUGGCCAAGUCA